rnacentral:lncRNA from 1 species
GGAGAAAGAAAAGGAGCCAUUACCUUGAAAAUCCCCCCAUUGGGGUUCCUGUAGCAAGGGAUGAUGGGGGCAUCCCUUGAACAUCUUCCCUAUUCUGCCUGGCAGGAAUAGGUGCCUGGCGUAUGGUCCCAGAGAAAGGGAGCCAUUACCUUGAAAAUCCCCCCAUUGGGGUUCCUGUAGCAAGGGAUGAUGGGGGCAUCCCUUGAACAUCUUCCCUAUUCUGCCUGGCAGGAAUAGGUGCCUGGCGUAUGGUCCCCAGGAGAGAAAAGGAGAAAGAAAAGGAGCCAUUACCUUGAAAAUCCCCCCAUUGGGGUUCCUGUAGCAAGGGAUGAUGGGGGCAUCCCUUGAACAUCUUCCCUAUUCUGCCUGGCAGGAAUAGGUGCCUGGCGUAUGGUCCCCAGGAGAGAAAAGGACAAAGACAGUGAGAAAGAGAAAGACAGUGAGGAAUUUUCCGCCAGUCUGGGGGACAUUCUACCCAAUUGCAUCCUGGAGCCAUUCUCCCAAGAAGGGGUUCCCAUACUCCACCAAAGGUUAGAGUUUGGUACUUCCCUUGAACUGGAGUCCCGAGUGGGACUUUCCUCGCAGUUCAGAGCGUGGUCAGGUGCCAGAGGGAGGGAUCCCAAUCCAGCCUUAGGAAAAGAAACCUUCCACGGGAGUCUUGGAGAUUGGCGGCCGUCCUAAUGACUUAAGUGGCCGACCCGCGCCCACGUAAAAUUUGUCUAUUAGAGAUAGAGUCAGGAAGGAAUGGAUUAAUUCAUUCUCCAUCACCCUGAGGCUUAAGGUACUGAAUCUCUUCAAGCUGAAUGCCACAAUUUGCCCCAUAGAGUAGCCAUGGGCAGCAAACGUGGAUUCAUACAACCAUCCAAGAAAGUUCCCGAUGGAGCAGUGAAUCUAGAUCCAUCCUUGAAAAAGAGAAAGGCAUAAGGAAGAAAAGGGCACUUACCAGAACUCGAGCUCACAAGCCGAUGAAGCAAGUCCCCGUACGGGC